GCUUCUGGCCCCUUUCUCUGGAGGAGCUCCGCGCGUGGCGAGUCUGUGUCCUCCCUGUCCCCCAGAGCAGAGAACCCUCUCUGUGUCUGGACGGGGGAGGAGCAGACGCUGGACAGGUUUUUGGCAAAAUGCUGGCAAUUCCCAGGAAGAUAUGUGGAGAACGGAAAGGUUGCUACACCCAAAUAGUGGCGCAAAGGCUAUGAUUAUGGAGGAUUGGACCUGCAAACUCCAGAACAGAGCAACCUUGUAAAAUGUGUGUGGGCAGCACAGAGACCUUGGGCAAGUUAACAGUUUCCUCAUCUGUAAAUACUGAUUUAUGGAAAGCACCUGGUGUAUGUUCUGCCCUCUGAGGACCCUGCCCUUUCCCAAAAGGGGUAUCUUAAGAAGGAAAAUAUGGCUGCUCUUUGCCGGACAGCAGAGUCCCAGGCUGAACUCCAGUGCACCCAGUUAGACUUGGAGCGGAAACUCAAGUUGAAUGAAAAUGCCAUCUCCAGGCUCCAGGCUAACCAAAAGUCUGUUCUGGUGUCGGUGUCAGAGGUCAAAGCAGUGGCUGAAAUGCAGUUUGGGGAACUCCUUGCUGCUGUGAGGAAGGCCCAGGCCAAUGUGAUGCUCUUCUUAGAGGAGAAGGAGCAAGCUGCGCUGAGCCAGGCCAACGGUAUCAAGGCCCACCUGGAGUACAGGAGUGCCGAGAUGGAGAAGAGUAAGCAGGAGCUGGAGACGAUGGCGGCCAUCAGCAACACUGUCCAGUUCUUGGAGGAGUACUGCAAGUUUAAGAACACUGAAGACAUCACCUUCCCUAGUGUUUACAUAGGGCUGAAGGAUAAACUCUCGGGCAUCCGCAAAGUUAUCACGGAAUCCACUGUACACUUAAUCCAGUUGCUGGAGAACUAUAAGAAAAAGCUCCAGGAGUUUUCCAAGGAAGAGGAGUAUGACAUCAGAACUCAAGUGUCUGCCAUUGUUCAGCGCAAAUAUUGGACUUCCAAACCUGAGCCCAGCACCAGGGAACAGUUCCUCCAAUAUGUGCAUGACAUCACGUUCGACCCGGACACAGCACACAAGUAUCUCCGGCUGCAGGAGGAGAACCGCAAGGUCACCAACACCACGCCCUGGGAGCAUCCCUACCCGGACCUCCCCAGCAGGUUCCUGCACUGGCGGCAGGUGCUGUCCCAGCAGAGUCUGUACCUGCACAGGUACUAUUUUGAGGUGGAGAUCUUCGGGGCAGGCACCUAUGUUGGCCUGACCUGCAAAGGCAUCGACCAGAAAGGGGAGGAGCGCAGCAGUUGCAUUUCCGGAAACAACUUCUCCUGGAGCCUCCAAUGGAACGGGAAGGAGUUCACGGCCUGGUACAGUGACAUGGAGACCCCACUCAAAGCUGGCCCUUUCUGGAGGCUCGGGGUCUAUAUUGACUUCCCAGGAGGGAUCCUUUCCUUCUAUGGCGUAGAGUAUGAUUCCAUGACUCUGGUUCACAAGUUUGCCUGCAAGUUUUCAGAACCAGUCUAUGCUGCCUUCUGGCUUUCCAAGAAGGAAAACGCCAUCCGGAUUGUAGAUCUGGGAGAGGAACCCGAGAAGCCAGCACCGUCCUUGGUGGGGACUGCUCCCUAGACUCCAGGAGCCAUAUCCCAGACCUUUGCCAGCUACAGUGAUGGGAUUUGCAUUUUAGGGUGAUUUGGGGGCAAAAAUAACUGCUGAUGGUAGCUGGCUUUUGAAAUCCUAUGGGGUCUCUGAAUGAAAACAUUCUCCAGCUGCUCUCUUUUGCUCCAUAUGGUGCUGUUCUCUAUGUGUUUGCAGUAAUUCUUUUUUUUUUUUUUU
rnacentral:lncRNA from 1 species